rnacentral:tRNA from 1 species
UGUUGUGGCUCAGUGGCAGAGCGCUUGCCUAGCAUGCAUGAGGCACUGAGUCCAAUUCCCAGCACCACAU